UACGUAGGGAGCAAGCGUUAUCCGGAUUUAUUGGGUGUAAAGGGUGCGUAGACGGGAAUGUAAGUUAGUUGUGAAAUCCCUCGGCUCGACUGAGGAACUGCAACUAAAACUAUAUUUCUUGAGUACUGGAGAGGAAAGUGGAAUUCCUAGUGUAGCGGUGAAAUGCGUAGAUAUUAGGAGGAACACCAGUGGCGAAGGCGACUUUCUGGACAGAAACUGACGUUGAGGCACGAAAGUGUGGGGAGCAAAC
rnacentral:rRNA from 1 species